GCUACCGUAGCUCAAUGGUAGAGCAGCCGACCGAUAAUCGGCCGAUGAAAGUUCGACUCUUUCCGGGAGCACCA
rnacentral:tRNA from 1 species